GAUGAACGCUGGCGGCGUGCCUAAUACAUGCAAGUCGAGCGAACGGACGAGAAGCUUGCUUUUCUGAUGUUAGCGGCGGACGGGUGAGUAACACGUGGAUAACCUACCUAUAAGACUGGGAUAACUUCGGGAAACCGGAGCUAAUACCGGAUAAUAUUUUGAACCGCAUGGUUCAAAAGUGAAAGACGGUCUUGCUGUCACUUAUAGAUGGAUCCGCGCUGCAUUAGCUAGUUGGUAAGGUAACGGCUUACCAAGGCAACGAUGCAUAGCCGACCUGAGAGGGGGAUCGGCCACACUGGAACUGAGACACGGUCCAGACUCCUACGGGAGGCAGCAGUAGGGAAUCUUCUGCAAUGGGCGAAAGCCUGACGGAGCAACGCCGCGUGAGUGAUGAAGGUCUUCGGAUCGUAAAACUCUGUUAUUAGGGAAGAACAUAUGUGUAAGUAACUGUGCACAUCUUGACGGUACCUAAUCAGAAAGCCACGGCUAACUACGUG
rnacentral:rRNA from 1 species